CAUUCAUGUCUGGGGUGCCAUACGGCUGAGAUAAUACCCAUUGAACCUGCUCUGGAUAAUUCCAGCGAAGGGAGAUACGGUAAAUAAUCU
rfam:Lactobacillus mucosae LM1, complete genome.